rnacentral:lncRNA from 1 species
CCUGUGUCCUUGUGUCCCCAUGUCUGUCUGUCCAUGUCCACGUGUCCCUCUGUGUUGUCCGUGUCCCUGUGUCCAUGUGUCCCCAUGUCCAUCUCCCCUGUGUCCGUGUGUCCCCAUGUCCGUCUCCCCCAUGUCCCUGUGUCUGUGUGUCCCUGUCCUCCUGUCUGUCCCGGUGUCCCCAUGUCCAUCUCCCCCAUGUCCCUGUGUCUGUGUGUCCCUGUCCUCCUGUCUGUCCCCGUGUCUGUAUCCCCCUGCGUCCGUGCGUCCAUGUAUGUCCAUGUCCCUGUGGCCCUCUUGUCCCUGCCUGUGUCCUCCUGUCUGUCCCGGUGUCUGUGUGUCCGUGCGUGUGUCCUCCCGUCUGUCCCGGUGUCCCCAUGCCCAUCUCCCCUGUGUCCGUGUGUCCCU